AUAUUAAAAUAUAAAUUUUUUUUUAAAGUUAAUAUAAAUUAUGUUUAUGGGUUUUAAAUUUUGAUUGGGGUGAUCAAGGAAUAAAAAAGAUUAAUGUAUAUAUAUUAACUUCCUUAUAUAUAAAUAUUUAUAGAUAAAUAAACCGAGAGUUUUGCUUAAAAGUAAGUUA
rnacentral:rRNA from 1 species